CUCUGUGACUGACCCUGAUCACCUUAUUGCUGAUUGGUUACUCGUUGAAGCUAAGCAGGGUUCAGCCAGGUCAGUACCUGUAUGGAGACCUCCAGGAUAAACUAAGGUUGCUGCGGGAA
rnacentral:rRNA from 1 species